rnacentral:rRNA from 1 species
UACGAAGGGGGCUAGCGUUGCUCGGAAUCACUGGGCGUAAAGGGCGCGUAGGCGGCCGAUCAAGUCAGGGGUGAAAGCCUGUGGCUCAACCACAGAAUUGCCUUUGAUACUGUUUGGCUCGAGACCGGAAGAGGUUGGUGGAACUGCGAGUGUAGAGGUGAAAUUCGUAGAUAUUCGCAAGAACACCAGUGGCGAAGGCGGCUUACUGGUCCGGUUCUGACGCUGAGGCGCGAAAAGCGUGGGGAGCAAACAGG